rnacentral:miRNA from 12 species
AAGGUCCAACUUCACAUGGCCU